rnacentral:rRNA from 1 species
UGGGGAAUUUUGGACAAUGGGGGAAACCCUGAUCCAGCCAUCCCGCGUGUGCGAUGAAGGCCUUCGGGUUGUAAAGCACUUUUGGCAGGAAAGAAACGUCGCGGGUUAAUACCCCCGCGAAACUGACGGUACCUGCAGAAUAAGCACCGGCUAACUACGUGCCAGCAGCCGCGGUAAUACGUAGGGUGCAAGCGUUAAUCGGAAUUACUGGGCGUAAAGCGUGCGCAGGCGGUUCGGAAAGAAAGAUGUGAAAUCCCAGAGCUUAACUUUGGAACUGCAUUUUUAACUUACCGGGCUAGAGUGUGUCAGAGGGAGGUGGAAGUUCCGCGUGUAGCAGUGAAAAUGCGUAGAUAUGCGGAGGAACACCGAUGGCGAAGGCAGCCUCCUGGGAUAACACUGACGCUCGUGCACGAAAAGCGUGGGGAGCAAAACAGGAUUAGAUACCCUGGUAGUCCACGCCCUAAAACGAUGUCAACUAGCUAGUUGGGGGCCCUUGCUGGCCGCUUGGUAGCGCAGGCUAACGCGUGAAGUUGACCGCCUGGGGGAGUACGGUCGCAAG